rnacentral:rRNA from 1 species
ACGGCCUACCAAGGCGAUGAUGCAUAGCCGAGUUGAGAGACUGAUCGGCCACAAUGGGACUGAGACACGGCCCAUACUCCUACGGGAGGCAGCAGUAGGGAAUCUUCCACAAUGGGCGCAAGCCUGAUGGAGCAACACCGCGUGAGUGAAGAAGGGUUUCGGCUCGUAAAGCUCUGUUGUUAAAGAAGAACACGUAUGAGAGUAACUGUUCAUACGUUGACGGUAUUUAACCAGAAAGUCACGGCUAACUACGUGCCAGCAGCCGCGGUAAUACGUAGGUGGCAAGCGUUAUCCGGAUUUAUUGGGCGUAAAGAGAGUGCAGGCGGUUUUCUAAGUCUGAUGUGAAAGCCUUCGGCUUAACCGGAGAAGUGCAUCGGAAACUGGAUAACUUGAGUGCAGAAGAGGGUAGUGGAACUCCAUGUGUAGCGGUGGAAUGCGUAGAUAUAUGGAAGAACACCAGUGGCGAAGGCGGCUACCUGGUCUGCAACUGACGCUGAGACUCGAAAGCAUGGGUAGCGAACAGGAUUAGAUACCCUGGUAGUCCAUGCCGUAAACGAUGAGUGCUAGGUGUUGGAGGGUUUCCGCCCUUCAGUGCCGGAGCUAACGCAUUAAGCACUCCGCCUGGGGAGUACGACCGCAAGGUUGAAACUCAAAGGAAUUGACGGGGGCCCGCACAAGCGGUGGAGCAUGUGGUUUAAUUCGAAGCUACGCGAAGAACCUUACCAGGUCUUGACAUCUUGCGCCAACCCUAGAGAUAGGGCGUUUCCUUCGGGAACGCAAU